GCGCUGCGCGCCCGCAGGUAAGGGCUGUCUUCGCUCCCCGCUCCCGCCCCGCCCCGCCCGCUGCGGAAGCCCGCGGGUUCCCGGGGGUCCCCCCGCCAGGAAGGGGCCUCCCCGGCGGCGCUCCCCGGCUCCCCGCUCCUCACAUCUGCACCGUCUCCGGAACAUGGGCGCCGCGCUCCGGAGCUGUCCAGCAGCGUCUCUCGCCCGUCGCCGCCGCCGCCGCCGCCCUGCAAAACACAACGCCGCGCUUGCUCCGCUCCGCCGCCUGCUGCGGGCCGCCGCAGCGAGACGGGAGAGGCAGUGGCCCUGGGAGCUGCCGUGGGGCCGGGUAGCGGAGAGCCCGCCCCGGCACAUCUCCGCCUGUCACCGGGAGCGGGAGGGCCGGGGGCUGCCCCUUCCCGCCGGCCGCCACCCGGGACACCCGGGAGCUCCGCUCCGGCUGGAGCUUCACCGUGGAACAGGGUCGGUGUCGCUUGGUGGCUGCGUCCCCCCGCAACAGUGCAGUCCUUGCGCUAGUCGCUGGCUACCAUUCUGCCUCUUCCCCUUCCGCUCCCAACUGUCACCGAAUAAUUCAUUCCCGCAGCUCCCUGUGGCAGAAUAAUGUCUGCACCAGGCAGAGUCCCUGCAUUUACUUAAAGAAAGAGUCUUUAAGAGAGCAAUCGUGAACGCGAUAAGACAACUGUCAACUUCUUUGUAGAGAAGACUGUAGACAGAACACUGCUGAAAGACUAUAUUUUAAGCAAAGCCUCAGGAUUGGAGAGCACCCUGCAAGAACUGCUUCAUCAUUGCUCCAUCUACCACUGCCUGACUGGCCAGCUCUUCGUGGAAGUGCAGAAAAUAAGAGUGAUACAGUUUAAUAGUGUCAAUAUCACAGGAGUACUUCAGUGUGGAAGGAACCCUCACUAGCAUCAAUACCAUGUCAUUAUCUGAAUGUGAAAACUCUACAGGACUUCAUUAUAUGAUAUACCUAUGGAGGGCAGCACAACAGCCACUUUUCAAUUCUGUAAAAACAUAUAGUUCUCCCCAUUCCAGAUCUCCAACAAAACUAUAGCAAUAAGAGAUUUUAGAAGUUUUAGGUAAAGUUUUCCACUCUGAUUUUAUUUACAUUUUUCUCCACAACACUUGUCAUUAUGCAAGUAGGCCAUAUCUCUCCCAGAUUAAAGGCCUUCACUGUCUCCUGCCAUCACUUUUACCUACUGCCUGCUGGGUAAUACAGAACUUAGACUGAAUUAGAGUUAGCUGAGGAAAUCAAAACCAGAGCAAAUUAGAAUUUAAAACUAAAUUUUAGGUGCUUGGAUACCAUUGUGAAUAUAUCAACAACCUGGUUAACAGCAAACUAAAAUGAUGUCAUUUGAUUUUUACAUAGGAGCCAGCUCCAUAUUAGGACUAAUCAACAGGACACUCAGUGGUGCUAAGAUGGUGAGCUGGAGAAGUCAUGACAUUUCAAAUGGACAAAUGUAGAAUUUAGAAGUUCAUCAAAUGAAAAUUUGAAGUCACUAUUAUCUUGCUUUCUUCAUUGCUCUCCCAAGGCCUUUCCUACACCCUUCUCUAUUGUCUGCUAUUCAGAAACUUACUUUCUUUUUGUAUGGUUGGUGGUUAACAAUGUUUCUCUGUAAGUCCUUAAAUAUUGUUGUCUACUGCCCUUAAUUUUUUACCAGCAGAAGGAGAAGUGCUAUUUUCUGGUAAUGACAGCCCAUAUAUUAAUUUUGGCUUGCAAUUCUUAGGAACAGAUUCUGGGUGGAAAAAUUUCUGUGGUAGUAUUUGGCACAUGCGAAGUUCCUAAAAGAUGUGUAGGAACUUCUAGACAGAUUGCUGUGGACUGGGCAGACUAUUUCUUUCUCUCCCCGACUGUUUAGUCCAAAAUCUGUUGCUCAUAUGUUAAAAUUUCUGACAACCCAGCAGUUUCCUGUACUAUUUUGUUGCUUCUAGUGUUUUUCUUCUCUCCCUCAAAUAUAUUAUGAAAAUUCAAAAGACAAAAAACUUUGCAGAUGUAACACUUUCCAGUCUAAAGAAAAUCUGCUGGAAAAAGAGAAGCAAGCUACCGAGAAGCACAUGUGAAAGAGCAGAUAGACAGCACAAAAUUCACUUACUUCAGCACAGAUGUGCUCUGUAUUCCCUUGUAAUGGCCGUAAUGUAAGCCACAACUGCUAAAUUAAAACGAACUGAGCAUGUCUUUUCGGCUCCUUUUUAAUACACAGGCAAAGAGCAAGACAUGGUACACACAAAUCCUCCUCUUCUUACCAAAAUUUUGGGAGACAACUGAAAAGAUAGUAAUUGUGAUAAAAUUGAACUUUUUCUAAUAACUCUUUGAAAAUGAGGCAGAGCUGAUUCUUUUGAAAGUCCAUGUUCCCUUGAACACUACUAUUCCUGGUGAUACAAACAACAGCUAUCCUGUUAUUUAAGGGAUAAGGCCAUCCUGUUCUGGUUUUGAAGAACAUUUUGUACCUGUUUAGAGAUCAGGGAAGCAUAAGACAGAGCAAAUACAUUAAUCAAAAAAUAAACUUAGCAUAACCAUCAGUAACCAUCAAGCUCAUCACUUCCUUCACUCCUUUCAGGCUUCACGCAGAUUUUUAAAAGCUAGCUUUGAAAAUGCAAGAUCAGAUAUCACCAAGCUUCCCAAAGUCUUCACAGUAAUCAUGCUAACUUCCUGCCUGCCAUAGAAAAUAUAUUUAUUUGCAUACACUUUCCUUCUCCAGUUAAAUUGUUACAUAACAAAUAAUUUAUCAGAUUAAAUCAAACUGACUAGCAAGACUUUUUUCCAAACAUAUAUUUUCUAAUGAAAAUGUAGGAAAAAAGGCUAUGAUAAAGAAGCUACAGCUGCCAGGUGUAAUCCUUACAGGUAAAUUAGGAUAUAUUACUGUGUUUAAAAAUAAUGGCAGCAGAAGUUAGCAAGAAACAAAUCAGGAUAUGAAAUGAGGAGCAAUUUGAAUGCUCUAUUAAGAAAGUUUCUGAACGUACCAACACUUGUUUUGCCGUAGACAUCAGUUAAAAGAGAAUGAAAUCAAAGCUGUGAUAACUGGCUUUAUUCUUAAAUUCUCAAAGAUGACAUUAAUUCCACUUAGUACCUUCCUGUUGCUUGCAAGAUUACUAUCUUUUCACUGUGAUUUUGAUGCAGAUCAGUAACUCAGUUUUAUGUACUUAAGAAGCAUCUCUAAUAAUUAAGUAGCCAAUAUUAAUUACACUGAACAAAAAUAAAAUUUGUACCUUUUCUAAAGUUAAAAAAACUUUAAGGAAAUGACUUAAGACCACUAACAUGCAUCACUGCUAGGGCCCAUCAAAGAUAUUCUUGAAGAGACUGAGUAACACUUGAUUCUAAGACUACAAAUAAAUGCGCUCCAACUAAAUAUUAUUUCCCCUCAAAAAAUAGUAGUUAGAAAUUGCAGAGGUUGUCCAGCAACAUGCUACAUAAUAGUUUUAUUUUAACAUUAAGGUAAUUAGACAAAGCCUUAUCCUGUGAUGAUACUGUAUUAGUCAGGUUAAACAAAGUACUGACCUAAAAGUAAAUUGUAGUUAUGUUCUAAUUCAUUUAGUACAGUGAAUUAUUUUUUUGACUUCUCCUGCCCUUUAACUUUAAAGUCAGUUUUCCAAAGUUAAUUAUUAUAAAUCAAUUGUAAAUUAAUUUAAAAGAAACCUGAACCGCCUUAUCCAGAAAAAUCUUAUUCACCAGCCUUAUUACUUUGAAGCAUAUCUCUGGAUAUUUUGUGCAUUAAAAAGUCAGUAAUUAAGCCUCCAUUUUAUCUACUAAUCCUGGGUCGCUGAAUGUGUCGCAAACUUCAUUGCUAUAGAUCGUGCCAUCCUGCACAUCUAGGAGCAUCUGGGAAUCCACAGGUAAGGAAGCACAGAGUCCUUUAGUCUAUAUCACUUGAUUACAGACUAACAGAUAGAUGUCAAAGUUAGUAACUUCAAGGCUCCUGGUAACAUUCCUUCUUCCAAACAACAGCAGAGCCCAAGAGCAAAAUAGCCAUCAAACUGCCCAGCUCUCCAGCACGGAGAUGGAGCUUACCUCCAUGCUAUAUUUGUGUUCACCUAACCUUAUAGCAAGUACAGGUGACAGGGAUCCUCCUGAUAAUGCCUCCAAAUUCACAGAUACUAUUUUGUUCUCUCUCUGCCACUCAAUACUUUUUUCCAUCUCUAAAUGCAAACCAAAGCUCAACAUUUCCAUUUCCUUUAAGCAGUAAAUAGGUACAUUCUAAUUGCCCCACAGGCCACUGAGACAAUGCUCCAGCACACUGCAGAACAAUUCACUGCAAAGCCAUCUCAGGCCAGAUCCGUACAAAGCUAUUAUCUAUUGUUUCGUUAUACAAUGCCUCAUAUAGCUUUGUCUUUGAUGGCACAAGGACAAAAAAAGGCUGAAGGUUAGAGAAAGACACGAGUCCACUGUAUCUGCAGUUUAUGCCAAGCACAGAGUACAUUCUGCAAUGGGAAUAUUCAGAAGCUAAAAACUCUUCACAAGGUUUUAAUUCCUCCAAUACAUCAAGCCAGUUUCGGGCCUGGGAAAAGACACAUUCCACCUUCUACUCUUACAAAGACAGAAAAUUAUCUCUUAGGGAAAAAGGGUCAUUGUAACCCUGCUUACAAUGACAUAUUAAUAAACACAAACAACCACUUUGAGCCCAUGCAAGGAGUCAGCGGCUAUCAGAGGGAACAGGACAAGCACCUUAAUUUUUGACAACCAAACUACAUUUCCAGCAUAAGCUUAGUCUCCUGGCUUAGAGUGUAUACGGUGCAUAUUUUUAAGAAGGAUACCAAUUCCUCUGAUUUCAAUAUUAAAGCUGAUGCAUUUCAGCAAAAUCAUAGGGAAAAGUACCAUCCUCAACUCCUACUUCACAGGGAAACCCUUCUCACCAUAUUCCUGCAGUCAGAUCAAGAUAAAAAUCACGUUAGCAAAGAUAAAGAAGCGAUGGAGACAAAUUAGCACAAAUAAUAGUAACAGCAAAGCUUUUUUAAAAAUAAAUGCCAAAAAACAUUCUCCAUGUAGUGAGCUGCUGUUUCUCUCCCAUCCCAAUUCAGGGAAUGAGAAGGUUUCUGAAAUGCCAGUCAGAAACAGCACUGGUGUUUCCCUCCAUCCUAGGUUUUUAUUAAUUACUGCUCUGCAGCUGCCACUUUGUGAUUAUACUUGAUGACAGGAAUCGUUUUUCAGAAGCAGCUGGGGAAGAGUGCGAGUCAGAAAUCUAACAUUCAGUUGGCGUUUUAAUUCCUCAUGUAGUAGCUGUUUUCUCCACCUGCAGAGAAAAGCUUGAAUAACAGAAACUGUUUACUUUGUGAACACAACCACACCCAAAAUCCAGCAACAGAGAAAGGCUGAACCUUUCUGAGCUUUCACAAUUCAUAGGCAUAUUCUACAGCUGGAAAACAAACUUACCAAUAAUUCCAUAAAAUGCACACUAUUAGCUGUCGUACUUGUGGCUCACAUUAAAUAUAGUUCAUGUGUGAGCCAAAAUAACAAAGCAGUUAUGAGCAGUCCUGGCAAGACUACAGUAGUGGAGAACCAAUAUAUCUUCAUUUGUGUACAAAGUUCAGAAAUAUUUCAUACGAUGUGUCAAAAAAGGGCUCAGUUGAUUUUUUAUUUUUAUUUAAUAAAUUAACUACACAGUCUCUUCUCUUUUGCAUUCUCAGUUAUGUUAAAAACUAACUAAAAAUUUAUAUAUUUAGUAUUUACUGCAAAAUUUGGGGUCAGGCACUAACGGGUAAUUUGUUUUUCUUUUACUUACAGAUAUUUUGUACACAUUCAAUUAAAACUAUAUUGGCAUUUUCUACUAAGUAGAUGCAUCUUUUUCCUUUUUUUGAUCUGGGGAGCUCUUUUGUUAUUUUGUCCCUUUGAAAUAGGAUACUCCCCAUUUUUUGCUUCCAGCAUUCUCAACAACUAACUCACACAAACCCCUCUGUUAAAGAAAAUCAACAGAAGAUACUCCUACUGAGACAGUUUUCCUGUGGUGGAUUUUGAGAGACAAUGGUUGAAGUAUAGCUAAAAACUGCCUUUGACUUUCCAUGUCUCUGCUCACUCAACCAGACAGUGGUUUAGAGCAGAACCUGCAGGGUAUGGCCUCCUCUUGGAAGGCCUGUUUCUGAGAGGAUUGCACUUUGAUUGAGAGAGAGAAGUAAUAAUAGACCAAGAAUUUCAUCGCUGCCCAAGUAGGGUUCUUUUAGAUUAUUUUCACUAAUUUUUAAGGUUCAUGCUUUAACCACAACUGGCAAACUAAGGGGACACACAGACACUCCUUCCCUUCCUCUGCAUCUUAGUGGGAUGAGGAGAAUCGGAAAAAGCAAAACCUGUGGGUUGAGAUAAGAACAGUUUAAUAACUGAAGUAAAAUAUAAUAACAAUAAUGCUAAAAAUACUAAUUAAAAGAAAUAAAAAGACUGAGAGGAAUAAAACCCAAGACAGUCAAGUGAUGCGCAAUAAAAUUGCUCACUACCCACUGGCUUGGGUCAGCUCGACCCAAGCAGCAAUCGGUUCCUUCUGGGUAACUCCCCACGAUUUAUACACUGGGCAUGACAUGCUGUAGUAUGGACUACCCCUUUGGCUAGUUUGGGUCGGGUGUCCUGUCUCUGUUCCCUCCUGGCUUCCUAUGUCCCUCCACACUGGCAGAGCAUGAGAGACUGAAAAGUGCUACUGAACAACAACUAAAAUAUUGGUGUGUGAUCAGCAUAAUAAAGCCAAAACACACUGGGAAGAAAUUAAGUCUAUCCCAGCCAAAACCAGGACAGUAAUAAAGAGUUCGAGUGUUAAAGUAGUAAUAAAUUUAUCCCAAGGAAAAACAGACGGGAAUGGAUUUUAAACAGCACUACUUGGUGUAAAUAAGUAUUUAGCUCCGGAUUCGAGAUUAAAAUGUAUUUUUUUAAACAACUUUUUUUUGUUUCCUUUAAUGCUUAAAGCUCCAUUUUCUCUUAAAUCUUUAGAUAUUUUUUCCCUUUUUUUAUGAUACAGUGAGCCAUUCAUAUUCUUGGUAGCCUCUUUAGUGACUACACCAGGUCCUACAGUAGACUGUUUUAGGUCUAACCUGACUUUCUAAUGAUGCUGUGGCAGAAUUAAGGCUCAAAAAGAAACAUCUUUGGUCUGUAGCCUUCAGAGUUGUGCAAUUUUUUAACAUCUUGUUUUAAUAUUACUGCAAAUAGUGUCAGCACACAGUAUUGCAGUCUCAAGCAAAUAAAAUACUACUGAAAUUUCUUGUCUCUCUUCUGCCUAUUUAUAGCAGAGCAGAAAUGCAGACAUGCUUCCAAUGAACACAGAACUGAUCUUAUCUUUCCCAACCUGGAAAAGAUCUGUAAGGAUCCUCAAGUUCAACACCCUGCUCCUAGCAGGACUACCUAACACUAAACCAUGGCUAACAGCAUUGUCCAGGCACUCCUUGAACUCUGGCCGUCUUGGUGCCAUGAGCACUUCCUCAGAGAGCCCGUUCCAGUGACUGACCACCCUCUCACUGAAGAACCUUUUCCUGAUGUCCAACCAAACUUCCCCUGGCUCAGCUUCAUUCCAUUUCCUCAUGUCCUGUCACUGGUCACCAGACAGAGGAGAUCAGCACCUCCCCCUUCACUGUCCUCCGUGAGGAAGCUGUAGACUGCCAUGAGGUCACCCUCUGCCUUCUCUUCUCCAAACCAAGUGGCCUCAGCCACUCCUCCUAAGUCUUGCCCUCGUGGCCUUUCACCAUCUCAGUUCCCCUCCUGUGGACACACUCAAUGUCCCUAUACUGAAGCACCCAAAACAGCACCAGUGCAGUGCAGAGUGGGGCAAUGGCCUCCCUCGACUGGCUCCAUGCUGUUCUUCAUGCACUCCAGGGCAUGACUGCACUGUUUGGUUUCUGGGCCAUACUGUCGACUCAUACCCAAGAGCCCAGAUCUCUUUCUGUGGGGCUGGUCUCCAGCUUUUUGUCCUCAAAUACAUAUAACCAGGAUGACCCCACUCCAGGUGAAGAAUACAGUACUUGCUGUUAAAUCUCAUACCGUUGGUAACUUUUUAGCUUCCUUGUCUACCCCAAUAUCUCUGUAAGGCCUCUCUACCCUCGAGGGAGUCCACAACUCCCCCUAGUUUAGUAUCUUCAGAGAACUUAAUGUACAUUCGAUUCCUGCAUCCAAAUAAUUUAUAAAAACAUCAAAGAGCAUUGGCCACUGGUGACCGGCCACCAGCCUAAUAUCACCCAUUUACUAUAAGCCUUUCAGCCUGACUCAUCUGCCAAUUGCUCACCCACUGUAUAAUAGACUUGUCCCAGCUCUAUGCUGGACAUUUUGUUCAAAAGGAUACUAUGAGAGACAAUAUCAAAAGUUUUGCUAAAAUAAAAAAAAGAAAUCCCCACAUCCCUUGAUCAACUAGUUGGGUGACCUUGUCAUAAAAGGAAAUUAGGUUGUUUCAGCAGGACUUUCCACUCAUGAACCCAUGUUGGCCAAUGAUCUCACUUCCUCUCAAGUGUUUUUCAGCCUCUCCCAGAAUAACAUUCUCCAUAACUUCAAUGGGCACUGCAGUGCCUGCAGUGAGACUGACAGGCCUGUAAUUACUAGGGUCCUCCUUCUUACCUUUUAAUUGUGACAUUUGCCAGGUUCCAGCCAACUGGGACCUCUCCAGACUUUGAAGACCAUUGAAAAAUAAUGGAGAGAGGUCCUGAGAUAACAUCGACCAGCUCUUUCAGCACCCAUAGAUCCAUGCACACCCAGCAAGUCUUAAACAGUUUCAGGGUUGGCUGGGAUUUUAUCACCCACUCACAGGGCUCUGGGUUUCCCCGAGUUCAUCACUGGUGUCAAAGACAGGUAUGAAGAAGGCAUUAAAUUUUCCUACUUUUUCUACAUCCCUACUUGUGCAGUGACAGACCUAGUCAAGCAACAGACCAAUGUUAUCUCUGAUCAUCCUUUAGCUGUUAACGUAUUUAAAAAUGCACUUUUUUUUGCCCUUCAAAAUGCUGGCCAGUUUGCCUAACCAAGCUUUGGCUAUGCCAUUUUUCUGGACCUCCCAGGCCUGCCCUUGGUUCCAACAUCCGUACACUUUCUUUUUUCCACCUAUGUUCGAAAAGACCCCUGCUCAUCCCAGCUCGCCUCCUGUCCGACUUGCUUCACUUUUGCCAUUGCCUGCUCCUAAGCUCUUUAAGAGAUGGCUCCUAAGUAUACAGCUCAAGCAGAGUAAACCAAAACUGCUCUAGAAAACUCUGUUGCUAGCACUCUACAACAGAAAUACCAAGGAGCAGUGCUCAGGGUGUUACAGAGAAGCCUAUUGAUGUCUGCUCUUCAGUUGGGCAGGGAGUCACAAUUUCCAUGGCUGAGGGACCAAGAACUAAUAAACAAAUCUUAAACCAUUUUUAUUCACAGUAUUUCAGUAAGCAUUGCGGAUGAACAUCUCACUAAGAGCUGGGAAUAUGCAAGGAAAUUAAAAACUUUAUCAAGUUUUACAAGAUCACAGAGAAAAGCCACAUCUGGUCUAGAAGCUGCAUCCUGAACCCUGUCCUGAGCUGACCUGACUUACAAAAACCAUCCUCAUGUCCACCAUUUCUUGCAGGUAAGUAGUGUUCCCCAGAAGUAAUGUUUACACAAGAAAAGUGUUAUUUAAAGUCUUUAAUAACUAACAAAUCCUUAUUUCCCUUGUCUCAUGCUGUCUUUUCCAUGGCAGGGGGGGAAGGUGUAGGUAUUUAAACAACUUUAAGACAUAUCCUUUUAAUACCUACCUCCCAAUAGUACUUCUUGUUCUUUUCCUCUUUAGAGAGAAAAUUCAUGGAUUGGUUUCAGAUAUAAUGCAACAGGCUACUACUCAAAUUCCUUACCAUAAUUCACUGCUUUUCCUGAGGAGAGGCCAUUUCAUGUGCACCUGCUAAUAAAUCUAGCGGUUUUUUUAAAAUAGUCGCAGCACGUAAGAGCCCAUAUGCUAACCAACUGCACCACCUAGCUUCACACAGAAGCAUCUUCAGAGUCCUAUUCUCCUAAUACCAGUGCUUAUAUUCCUGCAAGGUGAAUGCUUCUUCCACUUUCACCCCUACUCAUCUGGUGUCUCACCACAUUUAUUAGAAGCAAUUCACUAGCUUUGACAUGUUCAGAGUCAUCUCAAAAACAUGCAGUAUUGAUGUUUAUAGGAGUAUAACAGAGCUACUUUAUUUACCCUUCUUUUCUUCAAUCUUACACAGAGUGGUGUGACCUUUCAGUCCAUGAAUGCUUCCUAUAACUCUUGUGUCCACAUUUACCAAAGCUUGAUAGUGUCUGUUGUUGGUUUGAUUCAUUACUGAGUGGAGCACCAUAGAUUAAAACAAAACUCAGUAUGCAUGAGCUCUACCACUUAUUGACUUAUGUCUAGGAAGGUAAAGGGUCUCUUAGUCCCAUUUCCAGCAGUAUUUCCUUUUCUAGGAUUGUUAAAACAGGGUGCCUGUGAUCUCUGACUUCAGUCCAAAUUGUCCUGAUUUUCAAAUGAGAACUGGUACCUUCUCACCAAGUUUCAAUUCUGACAAAAAAACACAUUUUCUGCAGUAUUAGAACUUGUGUAUUUGGAAACAAAAUAGCAGACUCUGUGUACCUCCCAGGUGCCAUGGCAUGGCUUUUAACUACUUUCUGACCUCAUCCUCUUAAAGAGGAAUGAAAGCAGAACAAAGGAGCCAAACUAUACCUCAACGUCAGACUAAAGAGCAAUAUAAAUAUGCUUGCUGCAGUCCCCCAGUGUCCAAGCUAGGACACAGUCCUUUGUAACGUAUCUGCACAGUGCCUCUGAGAAUGGAAGACCUGGAGAAAUUCACACAUUAUAUUACUUUAUAUACAUAUACAUAUGUAUACACCACAUAUACAUUACUUUAAUAACUCCAAUUCAACCAGCGUAAGUAACUAGCAGAAUAAGCUAGAGUAUCAGUUCAUGAUUCUCUUGGAAGCUUCACAGCCUGCUUGCCAGGUGUCCUGUGGCCUUUUUCUCUUUUAUCUGCUUCCUAGACUGACUUCUCAUCAGGUCCAUAGACCUGUCCUAGAAUAAAAGGUAGAUCCCUCUUUCACAUAAAAGCUGUGGAUAGAGCACAGUAAUUCUCUUACCGUGAUGACACCUCAUUUAGUAUAGUUUUAGGGCUGAAAGCAGCAGCCACUGAACUGCUACCCUUGCCAAAUUGCAAGACAGAGUUCUUCAUUACUAACUGUACUUAAAGUAACACAAAAGUAUGAGUAUGAAAAGAGUUAAGCUGAAUAAAACCAUGAAAACAAUCAAGAAGUGAAGGUUUGUGCUCUUAUUUCGACAUAAUACACAGCAAGCUUGUCAGCCAACAGAGAUAUUAUCCUUUUCUGCCUAGCUUGCUUUUGAAAAAGUUAUUAAGAUGUUUCAGAAGAGCAGAAAGUACUAAUCUAUUUUACACACAUCACACAGUUUCAUUCUCAGUUUCUGUGUGUCCAGAACACCCUCAUAUAGGAGCAAUUUUGACAAUUGUAUUUUGUUUCUUAAUCUUCUUUGACUGCUGCUAGGCUUCACCAGAUAUUCCCUAUACACAGAACAAAGCGGUACAUUAUUUAAGAGCCUCAGGUUAAAACCUCUACCCAUACAUCAACAGUACCAAGUGCAAUAUAGCCACUCACACAUGCAAAGUUACAAGAUCUGGCUGUCAAUCUCAGAGCUGUGCACUAUACAACACAGGACAAAAAAAAAAAAAAAAAAAAUAGCAAUUUCACACCCACAUGGUAUGAAAUUAGCUUUAAAACUCCUUCUGGACUUCACAUGAAUAACAUACAGCCUCCUUUCUGAAUUGCCUGAUUCAAUUAUGUGCCAUGCUUUUUUUAGUAUUUCUGGGACUAACUUUUUUUUCUCUAAUUUGAUGCAAGGUAUUCCCUCAGUCUGCUUUUUCCUGACAACUGAUUUGUCUUUAAAUCCCAACUAAUACUUUCAUUUAGGUGACAUCCUUUCAACGUCUGCCAAAAGAAUUGUAACAAAAAAUAAAACUUUUAAUCCAGAGCAGCAACACCUACUUUCUGCACUGUAGUUCCUGCUAGACGAUGCAACAAAGACAGGAGCAAUGAUGGCUGAAAACAGUUCAGCACAAUCUACGGGGAAGAAAACACUGUGAGUAAAAAGAUCUGGAGUAAAGCAGUCAAACUGCUAAUAUUAUUCAAAUAGUAAAGGCCAUGACAGAAUACAUCUAGAAAGUGGCUGUUUUGAAACAAUCACUUUGCUCCAUAUGAAGAAAAAAAAAAAAAAAAAAAAGUAGCUGCAGAAACAACUCUAAUUCACUUUAAAGACAAAACACCUGGGGGUAACUAUGAACUGAUCCAACCACAACCUACAGAAAUUGGCCUACCAUGUAUGAGCUACGAUUUAAUAUUGACAACAGUCAGUAUCAAGAAGCAUUUGAAAUGGAAGCUGAAAAAAAUUCCAGAUUACAAAUUUAACCCAAAAGCACUGGAGGAAAUGUCUUUGUAGAUGUUGUGAUGACGGAGCAGAAAUUAUACCAGUUUAAUAGUGGCAAAAAAAAUGAAAAAAAAAAAACCAAACCCAAAUAUUGAAAGAAAUAGUUGCAACAAAUAAGAAAUUUUAGGCUACUACAUACUUAACAAUCAAAGUACUUAACAAAUAUACAUAUGUAACAAACUUUCUUUAGUUCCUAGAAACUACCAAAAGGUAGCAAGAGCUGGGAUCACGUGCAGGUGGGUGCUGUGCCUGUGAGGCCAGCGCCUAUUGACUGCAAAUGGGCUCUGAGUGGACCAGGACUCUUUUUGAUCAGUGGGCACCAGUGGGCCACAUGGGACAAUGUCCACACAGGUCUUCCUCUGCCACAGGGGCUACUUUUAAAGCAAGACUGAUAAUCGGUCUAGUGAUGCCCAGGGGCUAGCCAGGGGUUCUCAGUCAUCUCAGCGUGCUUCUCUGAAAAUAUGCUAGAGCUGCCUGGAAAACAGUGUCUGCACUUCCUGCUAGAAGUUAUAGUUGGAUCCCAGACUCCAAAGCAAGUCUCCAGGCUUUCCGAAACUGAAAUUGUGUCCCCUCUAUCAUGUAACAUAUUUGCAUGUUAAUAUAAUGUUAAGUAUAUGUUAAAUAAUCCACAAUAACAGAUUUGUGAUAGCACCCAUUUAGUUUCGGUAGGUCUGUCCUCAUGAAAGAGCAUGCAGAGGCACCUGUCUUACCUCCAGUAGCAUCAUGCUCUGUUUUAACAACUGAUCAGAUUAGUAAGACUUCAGGAAGGGAGGACUCUGACACAGCAUUGUCCAAAUUUGAAUCAGACGAAGUAUCAUCCCAGUCUUCUAGGUCUCGAUAUAAAGGAAUUCCCUUUUCCACAGCUUCCAGAUGAUGGCCAAGUAUUUCCCAAACAAAUACUGCUACAUGGGGCAACACACAUUGCUCCAGUUUCUCCACAUUAUCCUGACAGAUUUUAACACAGGCAGAUGCUAGAGUUUUCUCCUUUACGGCAGCCCUAGUGUCCUGUUGGAUGCUGGCCAGUUCUUCUCCCAGGGAGCCAACUUGAGCAGCUUUCAAAUGCUGCUCAGUACCCAUAAAGCAAUGAACUAACAGAUACAAGCAGGGUAAUGCUCCCUUUAAGUUUCUGCCUCUCUGGCUUACUCUCAAAGUAGAAUCUGACCCUGCAGGCUGGGCAAGGUCCUAAAAUAAUCAAUUAAGGCACCCAUUACAGGGUCAUGCCUGGUCAUGAUGCACUGUACCAUAUCCCUCCUCUGACAUCAGAGAGUAAGGGCUUAACUGUAACUCUGACAAGUUAUAGGUUUACUAUAUGGUAACAGACACCAGAGCCAACAGCUUCAGGGAUAAACAGUUUAUGUCUAAAUAACAGUACAGGAAAACAUACAGAUCAGCAGUACAAUUAUCUGGGUCCUAAAACAGCAAGCCAAGUAAUUCACCAAGACUGGGCUACACCUAACAUCUGGGCUUGCAAAGACUUACAUGAGCAUGGUUGUCAGGCAGGCAGCAGAGCAUGACCUCUUCUCCAGACAAGUGACCUGGACCAGCGAACGACCUUGGGGAAUGCAAAUUCCUUGGCUGGACUGUCACCAAGCUGCAGAAGCACUGUUUGGACUUUUUACCAAAAUAUUACACCCCGCUUCUACUCCCUCUCCAUGCCAGCUCUGUCCUUAGCAUGCAUGGGGUCCCGGAAUCCUGUCCAAGGCAAUAAAACCCAAGAUUCCUUUGAGGGCAUGGGCUUGGAAGUAUUAUAUAAGGCAAUAAAAGCCUCAGAGCUGUGUUGUAUUCACCGUCUCCAGAAAUACUGUAUCAGACAAUACUAGCCUUACAAGGACCCAGCUAGUCUUGCAAAGACAAAACUGACUGUUUACGUAUGGAAGUCACUAUACAGGAUGCCAGAAUGAAUACAUAGGGUACUCUGAACUGUGUGAGUAUUGUUGGUGUGAAUAUAUGGUUAAUGAGUGAAUAUCUCACUCAUUAAAAAGUGAGAGUGUGGGCUCAGAAGCAGAAAAAGCUCUUAAUCUAAUAAUGGCCACAAAUGUAGUGCUGACGGGAAGCAGUCUGAAUUUAUACCAGCUUCAUAGUACAGUAUAUUAAUGACUAAGAAGCCAAUAAUUCAAAAUUACUGAAGUACGGAAGAAGAAAUAACUUGAAAGAAGAGGUAAAGAAAUAAAGCAUGAAGACUACAUUGAAAGAUGAAGAAAGUUGUACUGCAAGUAAGUGAAAUAUUAAGACUACCAUCUGGCAGCAGGCCACCGAAAGACUGUUUUCCAGCUUUCCAAAGUAUGGCUACCUUUAAAAGGUGAAAAAUAACUGAAAAUGGAAACACUGCUAGACCAAUCCAUCCUCAGAAGUAUCGUGAUCCUUUCACUUAUGUAUUUAAAUUAAAAUUUAACAUUCUCCUGCUG